CUCACACACACACACAGAGACACACACUCGCUCUCACAGCCGCGGUGUCAGCGGCGCCCAGAGGGAACAGUCGCCGGAGUUCAGAGCGCAGAACAUGCGUCCUACAGGUCUGAAUCCCUGCACAGCGACUUGCCGAAGUGCGCAGCAGCGGUGUUAGAAGUGCGCGGCGUGGCCGCUGCAGAGUGCGCCUGUGAAACACUGGUGGAGUUUAACCAAAAGAAAAGAAAAGAAAGAAAAAAGAGAGACGUGAAGUUUGCGCCUCCGCCAAGCCUGCAGCAGGUUUUCCGUUUUGAGUUCUUAGUUUGAGGAAGAGGCGAUGAAGAGGAGGAUGAACAGUGACAUGCUGAAUACAUGAUGGCGAACAGAAGGAAGGGAGGUGUGCAGCUGCAGAGGCGAGGAAGAUAGCGGCAAUGUGAGAGAGGGACGAAGAGGUGCAGAGAGAGGAGAUGGGAUGACAUGACAGAAGUAAGAAUGAUUUCCACCCACACAGAGCCUCUAAGGACCUGUCUAAUUUGAUAUGACCCAUGUGCAUCACUUCCGGGGCGUGACCUCAGCAUCAUUGAGAGAUGGAGGAGGGUUGGUGAGGACUCUGUGCAGAGGGAAGAAAGGCGGGUGUUGGUGUCCUCUGUGGUUUAUAACUGCUGCUUCAGAACUGGCAGGGUGCAGCCUUUUGUGUCUUGACAUUCUGCUCUGUGAUUGAGAAAUCGGUUAACUGUAUUCAAUCUGUGAUCUGAACCCCCCCUCCCCACACACACACACACACAACCGCCACUGAGGUCAUAUAAAAAUCAAGUAUCCAUAAAGAUGAUCCAAAGUAAGGUUUAAAACUGAUGGCCACCAUUUUGUAGUUUACACCCAGAGGGUUUUGAAGCUCAGCAGUUGUGUAUUAAUUGGUUUCAUGAGAAUCGCUUGACGCCCGAAGUAUCCAAGUGAUUUACUUUUGCCUUCACAUAUUCAAGUAAGAUUUUAAAAUGGCCAGUAAUGAGGGGAUUAUUUUCAUGACCCAAUGGUGUUGUAAAUAUGUUUGAAACUCCAAGAUACAUAUUUAUAUAUUUUCAGAUAUGAGGAUUAAUGAAAAGUAUGAGCUGCUGUCAUCCUGUAAAUUCUAUUAUUAGCAAUUACACGGCUCUCAUCCGGCGACAGCGAUUUGCUGUUCAUCCUAAGAAGCUUUAAACUUUUGAUUUUUUUUUUACAUUGCGCCCUCGUUGUAGCAACUACAUAUUAAUGAGCGUGAACUUGAAGUGACUCAUUCAGACUAUAUGUGACGUCCCUAAAUACCGAAGAGGCUUGUCUGCGUGAAGAAAAUAAGAUUCCUCUUGCCUCGAGGUGAAAGGCAGUGAUCUGGAGCGAUAGAGGCGUUUUGUUUUGAGGACUUGAACCGUUGCUGCUGGUUUUAAACCUUCUUGCCUGUAGGCACAGACAGCCUGCAAUCCAUUUCCCCUCCUGAGAGAGACAGAGAAGAAGAAGUUAGAGAAAGAAAGAAAAGAGCAAGUAAGACGGAGAAAUACCAAGAAAGUGAGAGAACUAGAGAGAAGACAGAGAGAUAACAUCAGAUGACAGUACAUGCCUUUUCAUACUAUAGGAGGUGAAGUCCAGGGUGUCCGGGUAGCAUAGUGAUCUAUUCCGUUGCCUACUGACACGGGGAUCGGUGGUUCGAAUCCCCGUGUUACCUCCGGCUUGGUCGGGCGUCCCUACAGACACAAUUGGCCGUGUCUACGGGUGGGAAGCCGGAUGUGUCCUGAUCACUGCACUAGUGCCUCCUAUGGUCGGUCGGGGUGCCUGUUCGGGGGGGAGGGGGAACUGGGGGGAAUAGUGUGAUCCUCUCAUGUGCUUCGUCCCCCUAGCAAAACUUCUCACUGUCGGGUGAAAAGGAGCGGCUGGCGACUCCACAUUUAAGGGAGGAGGCAUGUGGUAGUCUGCAGCCCUCCCCGGAUCAGCAGAGGGGGUGGGGCAGCGACCGAGACGGCUCAGAGAGCGGGGUGGUCGGCCAGGUACAAUUGGGGAGAGAAAAAAAAAGGGGGGGAUCCCAAAAAAAAAAAGAAAAAAAAAGAGGUGACGUCCAAAGAGUAUUUGUGAGAUGGAGGACAGCAAAUGGAAACGGAGGGUGUGUGUGCGUGCAUGUGUGUGUGUGUGUGUGUGUGUGUGUGAGUGUGUGUGUACACGUGCAUGUGUGUGUUUGAGAGUAAGGGAGAGCGAGAGGUAUUUAAAAGGAGGAGAGCUAUAAUUGUCUGCCUUUAUGCAUGGUUCUCAUUUUAGAGCCCUGUGCUGUCGAGUUGGAGAGGUUAGCAGAAGUGAAUCUUGACUCUGUAAAAAUCUGUAUCUGUUUAACGAUGACACUUUGCCAAUAAAACAUCUCAAACUUGGAAAGGUCAAAGACUGGAUAUCUGUUAAUCUGACUGGGCGUCUGUUAACAUUUUACACAUUGGGAACAUUGU